ensembl:lincRNA Gm2464 predicted gene 2464
GACUCGGAGCCAGGCGGACUUGCAGGCAGCGGGGCCACCGCGGCUGCUGGGCGACCUCGGAGCCCUCGAAGCCCUCUGAGCCGCUCGGGCGGGCGCGGCGGUGAGAGCCCGGCGAGGCGGCCUCCUCGGCGAGCCCGGACUAGCAGGUGCCGCUCACGCUGGGCUGAGCGCACGCACACGCACACGCAGACGGGCAGGGCGCGGGCUAGCGGGGACCGCGCGGGGCGGGCCGGAGGCGCGCAGCUGCCGCCGCCGCCGCCGCCGCCUCCGCCGCUGCUGGUACUGCCGCUGGUGCUGAUGCUGCGGGCGCUCCGCCAAAGAAGAACAGCUCAGGGAUGUUCAGCGGAGGCAUCAGAGGGCACACAACUUGCUGCCCACUGCAAAGUUGCCGCUUGCCACUUCCUUAUUAUUCGGUUUUCAUCUCCAGGCUGCAAGUCCAAGGAGAGGAUCGAGGCAGACAAGUGAGUCCAUUGUGUGAGUGUUUGCCCGGCAGCAGGCACCUGGCGACGGUCGAGAGGGGGAGAUGUGCUCCACUCACUAGAAGGCUGCCAAAGAUCAGCUACAAGCCAGGCGGCUGAGCAGUGCUUUGGAAGGUGGAAGAAACAAGGAGUUCACCAAGCAUCUGCUGAGGGAUGCCUGUCCCUGGAACAAAGAUGCCAUCAGCCAAUCACUGACUGCUUUGGGAUUCUUCUACUGCUGCCUGUUGCAGAAUCAGCUUUCUGGGCUCUGCAAUGAAUUAAUUUUUCUUCAUCUUUCAUAAACUAUUCUAUCAAACCCGUUUCUCUGUAUUGCUUUGAAUGUGGUUUGCACAAAAUUAGUUGCCAACAUCUGUAUUAUAAAAUAAAAAUAAAUACAGUUUGUUGUCUCUCA